rnacentral:lncRNA from 1 species
AGUGCAAUGAAACUAGAACUCAGGAUUAAGAAACUCACCCAAAACUGCUCCACUACAUGGAAACUGAACAACCUGCUCCUGAAUGACUACUGGGUACAUAACGAAAUGAAGGCAGAAAUAAAUUGUGGUGCCCUGCCUUUCAAUUGUUACCAAAUGGGAGAGUUUGCUCUUUGCUGUAGUUGACUUUCCUGUAGUUUAGCAAUCAUGAUUUAAAGUUGGGGAAACUUGACAUGCUAAUAACAGAUGACUGAAUAAGUUAGAGCUUUUCUGAAUCCAGUAAUAUGAGAAAA